CGAACCGGGGGAACUGAAACAUCUAAGUACCCCGAGGAAAAGAAAUCAACCGAGAUUCCCCCAGUAGCGGCGAGCGAACGGGGAGCAGCCCAGAGCCUGAAUCAGUAUGUGUGUUAGUGGAAGCGUCUGGAAAGGCGCGCGAUACAGGGUGACAGCCCCGUACACAAAAAUGCACAUGCUGUGAGCUCGAUGAGUAGGGCGGGACACGUGGUAUCCUGUCUGAAUAUGGGGGGACCAUCCUCCAAGGCUAAAUACUCCUGACUGACCGAUAGUGAACCAGUACCGUGAGGGAAAGGCGAAAAGAACCCCGGCGAGGGGAGUGAAAAAGAACCUGAAACCGUGUACGUACAAGCAGUGGGAGCACGCUUAGGCGUGUGACUGCGUACCUUUUGUAUAAUGGGUCAGCGACUUAUAUUCUGUAGCAAGGUUAACCGAAUAGGGGAGCCGAAGGGAAACCGAGUCUUAACUGGGCGUUAAGUUGCAGGGUAUAGACCCGAAACCCGGUGAUCUAGCCAUGGGCAGGUUGAAGGUUGGGUAACACUAACUGGAGGACCGAACCGACUAAUGUUGAAAAAUUAGCGGAUGACUUGUGGCUGGGGGUGAAAGGCCAAUCAAACCGGGAGAUAGCUGGUUCUCCCCGAAAGCUAUUUAGGUAGCGCCUCGUGAAUUCAUCUCCGGGGGUAGAGCACUGUUUCGGCAAGGGGGUCAUCCCGACUUACCAACCCGAUGCAAACUGCGAAUACCGGAGAAUGUUAUCACGGGAGACACACGGCGGGUGCUAACGUCCGUCGUGAAGAGGGAAACAACCCAGACCGCCAGCUAAGGUCCCAAAGUCAUGGUUAAGUGGGAAACGAUGUGGGAAGGCCCAGACAGCCAGGAUGUUGGCUUAGAAGCAGCCAUCAUUUAAAGAAAGCGUAAUAGCUCACUGGUCGAGUCGGCCUGCGCGGAAGAUGUAACGGGGCUAAACCAUGCACCGAAGCUGCGGCAGCGACGCUGAUGCGUUGUUGGGUAGGGGAGCGUUCUGUAAGCCUG
rnacentral:rRNA from 1 species